GGCAUUUAAAUAGAAUAAACACAUUUUCUCAAUCUAUUAAUGGAGAGAACCCCGAAGAGGACCUCUACUCCCUUAUUGGAUCUUCAAAUGGAAUGAAACAUUUCCUUAAUGAAUUGAUAAAGAGAGGCCUGAAGAGGAACCCAACUCCCUCAUUGGGUCUUCAAAUUGAAUAAAGUAUACAUCUCCUUGGAGGAUGAGCCCAUUUUAAUCAUGAGCCAAGAGCUGCAGCUUGCGCUUUCUCUAGUAUUAGUGAUGAGCCUAUGAUAAGGUUUGGAGGUAUGGUAGACAUUUCGAAUUAUCAAGGACAUAUUGUUGUCACUAUCUUUGUCAUUAGAUAAUCACAAGGUGAUCCAUCAAGGACUUACCUUUUCCAAUAGCCACAUCAUAUUUAUCUGAGCACUAGUCUCUCAACUAUGGAUUUGACUUCACCAGGAUAACUGCCAACAAAAUAACCAUACAAUGGAAGCCAAAUUUAUGUGGAAGAACCAUCAAAAGCUAGCCUUAAGUGAGUGAGAUCUUAUAGCUAGGUUCUGGCCUCGACAUCUUAAAUUAUCUUGAGUUUGGUCCCAAAUGACUUACUGAUAUCUUGACUAUACAAGGACUUAGCACUUGACUUUCGCACUUUGAUAAUCCCUAGUUGAGGUCUAAAGUAUAGUUCGACAUUCGCUCCCCAAAGCUAGCCCUGAUAUUUGUAAAAUUUAGAUAAGGUCCUAGAAGAUUCAUGAAUUAUCGAGAAGACACCAAUGAUAAUCACGAUUUUGC
rnacentral:lncRNA from 1 species